CGGGAACAGCGGGUCAGGCAGGUUCCCGGUACUGCGUCAAUGGCCUCAUGGCAGCGAUGUCGUCAUGCGGGGAGUGGUGAGCCGGCGAGGGUAGCCAGACGCCCGUGCUGAAGUGCACUGCCGACCUUGACUCUCGGAUCACCACGUUGCUGCCCUCGUCGUCGAUCCCUGGGGCGUAAGUCUUGCUUGCUCCGUUAACGAGCCCAUCUCACGGACGUCCUCGCUGCCGCAUCACCUGCCGACGCCAUUCUGUUCUCUACUACACGUCGCUGCAACUCCGUGUCCGCCGCCUCGUCCGCUGGUGACUGCCGUCUGACGUCCUCGCUGCAUCUCGUCUCACUCACCACACCUGCUGCCCUGGUGACCCUGGCAAGAAUGGUCCUACCUUGCCUGUCGAACCUCGUGACGCCAUCUUCCUCUCCCGAAAUGACGAAUUCUUUGCGCCAACGACGUGAUCCUGAUCCUUUCAAGACCUAGUUCUCACGAUGCUCCGCUCAAUCCUCGUCUCCAUCGCAAACAACUUGUUCCAGAAUCUUGUAGACCGGUGUGCGUGUCAUUUACAAGUUAACUGUGUCUUCCAGCGAUCCUGUGGGACGAUUGACGAGCUCCGUGACCGAUCACCACUGUUGCUCCCGUCAAAACCACCUUCGCUUCGGAAUAGUAUCCUGUGUGAACAAGCUCCGUAGGCAGCCGACCUUAGAAGUCACCUGUGCGACCUUCUUUCCUCCUCGCCUGCAAGGACCGAGACUCCUUGCAUCACCGCCGUCGAGACUUCAUCUUCAGCACCACCCACCACAGCCAAGACGAUCCUGGUUAGGUGACCGAGCGAUAUAGUGACCUGUUCUCGUGAUCUCUCUCGCAUCGCAGAAAAGCCAUAUGUUUCUAAUCUUACAGUAACUCCACUGUCUUCCGCCGACUCCAACAGGUCCAUGACGUAGUAGUGACCUUAGAACACGCUAAACUAACCCUUAUUGCGCGUGGGCAAUACCCUUGUUGUUAUUCUGAUGUCUUUGUGUAUAACUAUAUCGUGUUUAUACUCAUAAUGUUCGUUAGAAAAUGCUUAUUCUGAAUCAUUAAGUAUGUUAUCGCUAUUAUUAUCUAUAUUCAAAUGUUUUUAUGUUUAAUGAAUACUCAGCAUAUCUGUCUCCUUAUCACGAGGCUUUUUAGUCUUGUAAACACCAUAACUCUCUUCUUACAUACAACAGUAUAUAAGGUACCCUUGUUCCUUCACCACGAAACCAUCAUGUGACCAUAUGUACUUCAAUUUGUGUAUAUUCAAAUUAUUUCAUGUUUUCCAUUAUCAAAUCUUUUAAAACAGAACGACCUGUAUAGACUGCUCAGAAAUUGGUCUAUAAAAAAUUAUGUUUGUUUAUCAAAAAUUAAAAAUAUG